CGUAGUGUUUCAUCGUAGAAAAACAUAAUGACGACUUCCAGAACAGUGGAUAUUCGAAUUAAGAGUCAAAAUUGAGUUCCUUGUAUGAAGAACUUUAUUAUGAAUUUCACAAGGAUGUACAUCGUUUGGAACUUUAACCGUUAAAAACUACGACUUUGGGA